rnacentral:rRNA from 1 species
CUGCGGCAGCGAACGUAUCACCCAAGACAACUUUACGGAGUUGACGAUUGACGGAGCGAAGCGACGUCAAAGCGUUCAUUAAAGUCGAGUUGGCUUAGGGAUACGUUCGUUGGGUAGGGGAGCGUUCUGUAAGCCUGUGAAGGUGUGUCGUGAGGCAUGCUGGAGGUAUCAGAAGUGCGAAUGCUGACAUAAGUAACGAUAAAGCGGGUGAAAAGCCCGCUCGCCGGAAGACCAAGGGUUCCUGUCCAACGUUAAUCGGGGCAGGGUGAGUCGACCCCUAAGGCGAGGCCGAAAGGCGUAGUCGAUGGGAAACGGGUUAAUAUUCCCGUACUUGGUGUUACUGCGAAGGGGGGACGGAGAAGGCUAUGUUGGCCGGGCGACGGUUGUCCCGGUUUAAGCGUGUAGGUGUGUGUUCCAGGUAAAUCCGGUUCACUUUAACACUGAGGCGUGACGACGAGGCACUACGGUGCUGAAGCAACAAAUGCCCUGCUUCCAGGAAAAGCCUCUAAGCAUCAGGUAACAUCAAAUCGUACCCCAAACCGACACAGGUGGUCAGGUAGAGAAUACCAAGGCGCUUGAGAGAACUCGGGUGAAGGAACUAGGCAAAAUGGUGCCGUAACUUCGGGAGAAGGCACGCUGACACGUAGGUGAAGUGAUUUACUCAUGGAGCUGAAGUCAGUCGAAGAUACCAGCUGGCUGCAACUGUUUAUUAAAAACACAGCACUGUGCAAACACGAAAGUGGACGUAUACGGUGUGACGCCUGCCCGGUGCCGGAA